UCUGAAAUCCUUGAAAGAAGAUAAAGAGU
rnacentral:piRNA from 1 species